GAUGAAGAACGCAGUGAAAUGCGAUAAGUAGUGUGAAUUGCAGAAUUCCGUGAAUCAUCGAAUCUUUGAACGCACAUUGCGCCUUCUGGUAUUCCGGAAGGCAUGCCUGUUCGAGAGUCAUUAACAACCGUUUCGAUCCCUUUCUUUCAGAAAUUACAAAGAGGAAAAGGGUUUGGUUAUGGUGGAGGAGGGAAAGGGAGCGUUUAGCCUGUAAAAAAAGAGGCUGUGUUCCGCCUCCCCCCCAAAAUUGUACAGGCGGUCGUGUGCGCCCACGCAUCGAGGUGUUGUAAAAGCUGCCACGGCACUUUUCACCUGUGCAGUGCGAGAUUGGCCAGCCGGUUUAAAAACCCCUCCAAACAAUCAAAGGUUGACCUCGGAUCAGGUAGGGAUACCCGCUGAACUUAAGCAUAUCAAUAAGCGGAGGA
rnacentral:misc_RNA from 1 species